rnacentral:lncRNA from 1 species
AGACACACCAGAAGAGGCAUCAGAUCUCAUUAUGGGUGGUUGUAAGCCACCAUGUGGUUGCUGGGAUUUGAACUCAGGACCUUCAGUAGUGCAGUCAGUGCUCUUACCCGCUGAGUCAUCUCACCGGCCCAGGAAAUCAUUUUAAUUUGCCUCUAUGUUCAGCUCUGAGCUGAGCUCUCUAUAGCCCCUGAGCACAGGUCCCAUUUACCCUGGCUUCCCGUAGCCUCUUCCAAACCUAACAGUGGAGUCUUGGCACAUCUGAUUUAUAGCAGAUGUUCCUCUCAAUGGAGAAUACUGAGCCCUGAUCUCCAAUGUGCCAAAGGCUCUCCCUGUUAUACACCAUUGUCUCUGAGAGCUAACUCACUGUCGAUAUAAGACAGGCUGUAUAGAGGAUCUCAACUCAGAGAGUGCUGUGAACCUUGAUAGUGGGAUGACUUGGGAUUUCUUUCUCAUCUAUUUCAGACUGUGUGGCUUGUACUUCUGUAGACUUCAGGAGUGGCUGCCCCCUCAAUGCAUCCCAGACUUACACAGUCGUUUCCCAAGUAGCAACUCAACUUACAGACUUAACACCUAGAACUAGUUAGUAUUUUGCCCAUUGGCUCUUCCUUUAAUGAAAAGGAUUCUUGGCUGUUUAAAAGCAGCCUGUAGCUUAUAAAAAACAAGCCAACACAAAUGCUCAGGGAUAAUUUAUAGGUAUAUACAUAUAUAUACUGCAUAUACAACUGAAAUGUGGUGUCCCCCCCCCAAUUCCUUUUAAUAGCCCAUCCUAAUUAGUCAUUCAGUGUCAUAUAAAAAACAACAUUCUGUAUUGUACUGUGACCAUCUCACUGAUGCUACUGAGUGGGUUUGGGUUCGUUUUAUUUGGAAUGGAAACAAAGAAGCAAUCCAGCGGUUCACUCCUCACAGCUUUGUGGGUUGAGCUUUAACAGCUGUUUCUCCUUCCCGUGUGCCCUCCCCACCCCCACCCCGUAGCAACUGGAGCUGUGUCAGAGGCUGUACAAGCUGCAUUUCCAGCUGCUCCUGCUCUAUCAAUCCUAUUGCAAGCUCAUCGGCCAGGUGCAUGAAGUGAGCUCCGUGCCCGAGGUGAGUCCCCGAACCACUUAGUGGUUUCCUUAUUGGUUUUGUUUUGUUUUUUCCUCUGUCUUCCACCCUACUCAUAAUGGUACAAAUCAGGUCCCUCUUUGUUUGGUGUUGCUGGAAAUAUUAAAAAAAAAGAUCCCGCAUGUUCCCGUGCUUGCGCCUCUGCCCCAGCGAUCUGGCCAGACAUGCACUGGCAGGCAAUGGCCGACCUGUUUUUACCUUGUAGAGGCUCAGAUUCAGAACUCCAGUCUCUCUACCCAACUUGCUAAGUUCCCACCCAUGGGCAGGUUGCUACCAUGCCAAUCCCAGGCUUCAGAUCCCCCACGACCUUUGUGGUACACAUCUGGAAGACCCACACUUUGCCACAGUACCUUUCUCUCUUGAACCCAGAUGAGCCUCCAUGUGAAGGAAAACACCACAUGAACUUAGUUCAGAAACAAUGGUAACUCAAUCUCUGGGAGCAAUAACUAAAACAUAAUCCUAUAAACCUUAUUAAAAUCCGAUUCCUCCAGUGGCGAAUCCUUGUAGAUUCGCCAUGAUACUGGGAAACUCCUGCAGCUACAUCUUACCCCUCUGCUGUCCCCAUUGCAAGAAAGACCUAACUCUCUCCUGCUUCCUCUCUUCAUCCAUCCAACCCAGAAGUCCCGCCUACUCACCCAGUGAUUGGCUCCUUUACUCAUUAGGGGAUUAGUUCACAAGAAGCCACCUGAGUACAUGACUCAUUCCUCAUUCCAGACAGCCUCUCCUGGGAAAGCAAGCAGCAGAGAGCCAUCCACAACAUUUCCCCCUUUCUGUUCU